rnacentral:lncRNA from 1 species
UGAAGCAGCACCUGAGGACUACGUCCUGAUAUGCCUCUGCUGACCUGCACUGAUCUGUGUGAACUCCAUGAAUGAAGUCAACUACCGUCAGCUGCCCUCACUGCACUGCUUCCCAACUGACUGACCAGAAAUCACCUGAACUUCACCUGAACUGCACUGAACUGACCUGCAUUCAAUUGAACUGCUUCUCUCACCAGUUCUUCUUCUCAAUUCUCUUUGCUGAAUUGACUGAUUAGAACUUAAAGAUUUGCAUGCCUCUGUUUCCAGAGUGUGGGGAUUAAAGG